GACGAACGCUGGCGGCGUGCUUAACACAUGCAAGUCGAACGAUGAAGUUCCUUCGGGAAUGGAUUAGUGGCGAACGGGUGAGAAACACGUGAGAAACCUGCCUUUCAUUUUGGGAUAACUCCGGGAAACCGGAGCUAACACCGAAUACUCCGUCUCGGCGGCAUCGCUGAGCCGGGAAAAAAUUGUGAUGAAAGAUGGUCUCGCGGCCUAGCAGCUAGUUGGUGAGGUAAUGGCUCACCAAGGCGACGACGGGUAGCCGGCCUGAGAGGGCGACCGGCCACACUGGGACUGAGACACGGCCCAGGCUCCUACGGGAGGCAGCAGUGGGGAAUAUUGGGCAAUGGGCGCAAGCCUGACCCAGCGACGCCGCGUGAGGGAUGAAGGCCUUCGGGUUGUAAACCUCUUUCAGUAGGGAAGAAGCGAAAGUGACGGUACCUAAAGAAGAAGCACCGGCUAACUAUGUGCCAGCCGCCGCCGUAA
rnacentral:rRNA from 1 species